GUAGGGGGCAAGCGUUAUCCGGAUUUACUGGGUGUAAAGGGAGCGUAGACGGCGAAGAAAGUCUGAAGUGAAAGCCCGCGGCUCAACCGCGGAAUGGCUUUGGAAACUUUUUUGCUGGAGUACCGGAGAGGUAAGCGGAAUUCCUAGUGUAGCGGUGAAAUGCGUAGAUAUUAGGAGGAACACCAGUGGCGAAGGCGGCUUACUGGACGGUAACUGACGUUGAGGCUCGAAAGCGUGGGGAGCAAAC
rnacentral:rRNA from 1 species